ACCCCAGCUCAGGCGGGGCUACCCGCUGAG
rnacentral:rRNA from 1 species